CGGCUAACUACGUGCCAGCAGCCGCGGUAAUACGUAGGUGGCAAGCGUUGUCCGGAAUUAUUGGGCGUAAAGGGCUCGCAGGCGGUUUCUUAAGUCUGAUGUGAAAGCCCCCGGCUCAACCGGGGAGGGUCAUUGGAAACUGGGAAACUUGAGUGCAGAAGAGGAGAGUGGAAUUCCACGUGUAGCGGUGAAAUGCGUAGAGAUGUGGAGGAACACCAGUGGCGAAGGCGACUCUCUGGUCUGUAACUGACGCUGAGGAGCGAAAGCGUGGGGAGCGAACAGGAUUAGAUACCCUGGUAGUCCACGCCGUAAACGAUGAGUGCUAAGUGUUAGGGGGUUUCCGCCCCUUAGUGCUGCAGCUAACGCAUUAAGCACUCCGCCUGGGG
rnacentral:rRNA from 1 species